AAGAGUUUGUCGACCGUGGGGCGUUAAAACAGUCGCCCCGCCGUCGACAAACUCUCCC
rnacentral:pre_miRNA from 1 species